UAAGACGCAAUAUCGCAAGAUGGAGCAAAUCUAUAAAAUAUGUCCCAGUUCGGAUUGGGGUCUGCAACUCGACCCCAUGAAGCCGGAAUCGCUAGUAAUCGUAGAUCAGCCAUGCUACGGUGAAUACGUUCCCGGGUCUUGUACUCACCGCCCGUCACACCAUGGAAGUUGAUCUCACUCGAAGCAGGGAUGCUAAAAUAGCUACCUUCCACAGUGGAAUCAGUAACUGGGGUGAAGUCGUAACAAGGUAACCGUAGGAGAACCUGCGGUUGGAUCACCUCCUUU
rnacentral:rRNA from 1 species